AGAGUUUGAUCCUGGCUCAGGACGAACGCUGGCGGCGCGCCUAACACAUGCAAGUCGAGCGAAGCGGCUGAAUUGAUUCUUCGGAUGAUUUUCAGUUGACUGAGCGGCGGACGGGUGAGUAACGCGUGGGUGACCUGCCCCAUACCGGGGGAUAACAGCUGGAAACGGCUGCUAAUACCGCAUAAGCGCACGAAGCUGCAUGGCUUUGUGUGAAAAACUCCGGUGGUAUGGGAUGGGCCCGCGUCUGAUUAGGCAGUUGGCGGGGUAACGGCCCACCAAACCGACGAUCAGUAGCCGGCCUGAGAGGGCGACCGGCCACAUUGGGACUGAGACACGGCCCAAACUCCUACGGGAGGCAGCAGUGGGGAAUAUUGCACAAUGGGGGAAACCCUGAUGCAGCGACGCCGCGUGAAGGAAGAAGUAUCUCGGUAUGUAAACUUCUAUCAGCAGGGAAGAGAUUGACGGUACCUGACUAAGAAGCCCCGGCUAACUACGUGCCAGCAGCCGCGGUAAUACGUAGGGGGCAAGCGUUAUCCGGAUUUACUGGGUGUAAAGGGAGCGUAGACGGAUGGACAAGUCUGAUGUGAAAGGCUGGGGCUCAACCCCGGGACUGCAUUGGAAACUGUCAAUCUGGAGUACCGGAGAGGUAAGCGGAAUUCCUAGUGUAGCGGUGAAAUGCGUAGAUAUUAGGAGGAACACCAGCGGCGAAGGCGGCUUUCUGGACUGUAACUGACACUGAGGCACGAAAGCGUGGGGAGCAAACAGGAUUAGAUCCCCUGGUAGUCCACGCCGUAAACGAUGAGCACUAGAUGUUGGUCCCGAAGGGAUCAGUGUCGCAGUUAACGCAAUAAGUGCUCCGCCUGGGGAGUACGCUCGCAAGAGUAAAACUCAAAGGAAUUGACGGGGACCCGCACAAGCAGCGGAGCAUGUGGUUUAAUUCGAAGCAACGCGAAGAACCUUACCAGGGCUUGACAUCCCGAUGACCGUUCCUUAACCGGAACUUCUCUACGGAGCAUCGGUGACAGGUGGUGCAUGGUUGUCGUCAGCUCGUGUCGUGAGAUGUUGGGUUAAGUCCCGCAACGAGCGCAACCCUUGUCGUCAGUUACUAACAUUCAGUUGAGGACUCUGGCGAGACUGCCGAGGUUAACUCGGAGGAAGGUGGGGAUGACGUCAAAUCAUCAUGCCCCUUAUGUUCUGGGCUACACACGUGCUACAAUGGCGUAAACAGAGGGAAGCGAAGGAGUGAUCUGGAGCAAAUCUCAAAAAUAACGUCUCAGUUCGGAUUGUAGUCUGCAACUCGACUACAUGAAGCUGGAAUCGCUAGUAAUCGCAGAUCAGAAUGCUGCGGUGAAUACGUUCCCGGGUCUUGCACACACCGCCCGUCA
rnacentral:rRNA from 1 species